UUGAGGAGACCCCCAGGGGCUUGGGGUUCCCACACGACUGCCUCGCCCUUUUAUUUCACCUUCCUUUCUGCUGACCGCUGCCGCCUGUCUGCCGCGGCGCAACCCUCAGAGCUAAAAUGAGUCUGUUUGGAACAACCUCCGGUUUUGGAACUGGUGGCACCAGCAUGUUCGGCAGCACUACCACAGAUAAUCACAACCCUAUAAGGAUAUCAAGGUCACGUCUUCCCCUGAUGACAGCAUUGGGUGCCUGUCAUUCAGCCCACCAACCUUGCCCGGGAACUUUCUUAUCGCAGGAUCCUGGGCUAAUGAUGUUCGCUGCUGGGAGGUUCAGGACAAUGGGCAGACCAUUCCGAAAGCGCAGCAGAUGCACACCGGGCCCGUCCUCGAUGUCUGCUGGAGUGAUGAUGGAAGCAAAGUAUUUACAGCAUCGUGUGACAAAACUGCCAAAAUGUGGGACCUCAACAGUAACCAAGCCAUACAGAUUGCACAGCAUGAUGCUCCUGUUAAAACUAUACAUUAGAUCAAAGCUCCAAGCUACAGCUGCGUGAUGACCGACAGCUGGGAUAAGACUUUGAAGUUUUGGGAUACUCGGUCAUCAAAUCCCAUGAUGGUCUUACAGCUCCCUGAAAGGUGUUACUGUGCUGACGUGAUAUAUCCAAUGGCUGUAGUGGCAACUGCAGAGAGGGGCCUGAUUGUCUACCAGCUGGAAAACCAGCCUUCUGAGUUCCGGAGGAUAGAGUCUCCACUGAAGCACCAGUAUCGAUGUGUGGCCAUUUUUAAAGACAAACAGAACAAGCCAACAGGUUUUGCCCUGGGGAGUAUUGAGGGAAGAGUUGCUAUUCACUACAUCAACCCCCCAAAUCCUGCCAAAGAUAACUUCACCUUUAAAUGCCAUCGGUCCAAUGGAACCAACACUUCGGCUCCUCAGGACAUCUAUGCGGUGAACAGAAUCUCAUUCCACCCUGUUCAUGGCACCCUUGCGACCGUGGGAUCAGAUGGUAGGUUCAGCUUCUGGGACAAAGAUGCCCGGACAAAACUCAAAACUUCGGAACAGCUAGACCAGCCGAUAUCAGCAUGCUGCUUCAGUCACAAUGGCAACAUAUUUGCCUACGCGUCAAGUUAUGACUGGUCCAAGGGACAUGAAUUUUAUAAUCCUCAGAAGAAAAAUUACAUUUUCUUGCGUAAUGCAGCUGAAGAGCUAAAGCCCAGGAAUAAGAAGUAGUGGCCUGAGACCUGGGGGGUAUCUGGAAUUGCGACUCCACGAUUCCUCAUCUCUACAGAUUUGGCCCAAGCCA